GAAAAAAAAUCCGCGGGUCAAAAAAAAAUACCCGCGGAUCCGCAUCAAUGUAUCUGCGAACGAUAUCGGUUUGGUCGCUAGUUGCGAGGUUGAAUAUUAUAUGUUUAAAGCGUAGAUAGAUUAAAACAAGUACCAUACAAAAAUAUAUUGCAAUUCCUAAUAUUCAUAAAUAAGUAGAAGUGACGCACACAAAGCAUUAAUGCCGAGUAUUAUUUGAUAUUCAAAUCCAAACAUUGCGACGUUCUGAUUCGGAACUUGUAUAUUAAAGAAGAUCAACUUCAUCGUCAAAUAGUAUAUUUUGGUUUCUCCCCUCAAAGUUAAUGAAUCGUUAUUUUUGCUUUUCGAGUUAUUGCUUCUGUAUCUUUUAUCGCUGUUUUAAGUAAAUGAUUCAAUGAAUGAAAAGGAAAAUGUAUUUCGAUGCAUUCGAGCUUAAAUAAAUAGGUUUUAACUAAGUAAAUGAUUUUUUAAAUAUUGAUAUUCUUGAUAUGCAAUAAUGGCAUGUGCUUAUUACAUUCUAUAUGUAAUAACAUUCUAUAUAAUAACAUUAAUAACAUUCUAUAUAAUCUUACAUAACAAACAGUUUAAUAUUUAAUGCGCUAAAACAUGGUAUGAAAAUUAAUGUAGUUAUAUUUGUCACGUUAUGCCGGAUUCCGAAUGUAACAUGGCCUGUCCUGGGGACGAAAGUCAGACAUGCGGAGGCCGCUGGCGAAAUAGCGUCUACAGCAGCAGGGUACGGCGAAGAGUGUUUCUGUGGACACUAUCUGAACGCCAUGAAAAGGCCGGAUUUCGAAUGUAACAUGGCCUGUCCUGGGGACGAAAGUCAGACAUGCGGAGGCCGCUGGCGAAAUAGCGUCUACAGCAGCAGGGCCGAGAACAUGUCAUAAAAAAGAAAAUCCUUGUUCGGAAUCAACAAUGUGUGAGCUGAUACGAACAGCCGGGAACAGCCGGAAGGAUACUCUUCGCUUUUUUAAAACUAUUUACUUUCGUGUUUUUUUAUAGAACAUUAUUGAAUAUCCAUUUACUAACUGCUUGAUUACAGAGAAAAAUAUUGUUGUUUUUUGCUAAGCAGUUUAAUGAUGUUUUUUCGUGAAAAACAUUUUUACUUAGACAGAUUGACCUGACUUAAAUGACACUUUUAUAAUACAAAGGAAUGAAUGUUAUAAGUAUGGAAAUGAUAACA